AUAGGGGAGCCGAAGGGAAACCGAGUCUUAACUGGGCGUUAAGUUGCAGGGUAUAGACCCGAAACCCGGUGAUCUAGCCAUGGGCAGGUUGAAGGUUGGGUAACACUAACUGGAGGACCGAACCGACUAAUGUUGAAAAAUUAGCGGAUGACUUGUGGCUGGGGGUGAAAGGCCAAUCAAACCGGGAGAUAGCUGGUUCUCCCCGAAAGCUAUUUAGGUAGCGCCUCGUGAAUUCAUCUUCGGGGGUAGAGCACUGUUUCGGCUAGGGGGUCAUCCCGACUUACCAACCCGAUGCAAACUGCGAAUACCGAAGAAUGUUAUCACGGGAGACACACGGCGGGUGCUAACGUCCGUCGUGAAGAGGGAAACAACCCAGACCGCCAGCUAAGGUCCCAAAGUCAUGGUUAAGUGGGAAACGAUGUGGGAAGGCACAGACAGCCAGGAUGUUGGCUUAGAAGCAGCCAUCAUUUAAAGAAAGCGUAAUAGCUCACUGGUCGAGUCGGCCUGCGCGGAAGAUGUAACGGGGCUAAACCAUGCACCGAAGCUGCGGCAGCGACACUAUGUGUUGUUGGGUAGGGGAGCGUUCUGUAAGCCGUUGAAGGUGUGUCGUGAGGCAUGCUGGAGGUAUCAGAAGUGCGAAUGCUGACAUAAGUAACGAUAAUGCGGGUGAAAAACCCGCACGCCGGAAGACCAAGGGUUCCUGUCCAACGUUAAUCGGGGCAGGGUGAGUCGACCCCUAAGGCGAGGCCGAAAGGCGUAGUCGAUGGGAAACAGGUUAAUAUUCCUGUACUUGGUGUUACUGCGAAGGGGGGACGGAGAAGGCUAUGUUAGCCGGGCGACGGUUGUCCCGGUUUAAGCAUGUAGGCGGGUGUUUUAGGUAAAUCCGGAACACUGUUAACGCUGAGGUGUGAUGACGAGGCACUACGGUGCUGAAGUAACAAAUGCCCUGCUUCCAGGAAAAGCCUCUAAGCAUCAGGUAACACGAAAUCGUACCCCAAACCGACACAGGUGGUCAGGUAGAGAAUACCAAGGCGCUUGAGAGAACUCGGGUGAAGGAACUAGGCAAAAUGGUGCCGUAACUUCGGGAGAAGGCACGCUGAUAUGUAGGUGAAGUGAUUUACUCAUGGAGCUGAAAUCAGUCGAAGAUACCAGCUGGCUGCAACUGUUUAUUAAAAACACAGCACUGUGCAAACACGAAAGUGGACGUAUACGGUGUGACGCCUGCCCGGUGCCGGAAGGUUAAUUGAUGGGGUUAUCCGUAAGGAGAAGCUCUUGAUCGAAGCCCCGGUAAACGGCGGCCGUAACUAUAACGGUCCUAAGGUAGCGAAAUUCCUUGUCGGGUAAGUUCCGACCUGCACGAAUGGCGUAAUGAUGGCCAGGCUGUCUCCACCCGAGACUCAGUGAAAUUGAACUCGCUGUGAAGAUGCAGUGUACCCGCGGCAAGACGGAAAGACCCCGUGAACCUUUACUAUAGCUUGACACUGAACACUGGUCCUUGAUGUGUAGGAUAGGUGGGAGGCUUUGAAGCGUGGACGCCAGUCUGCGUGGAGCCAACCUUGAAAUACCACCCUUUAAUGGCUGGUGUUCUAACGUAGACCCGUAAUCCGGGUUGCGGACAGUGUCUGGUGGGUAGUUUGACUGGGGCGGUCUCCUCCUAAAGAGUAACGGAGGAGCACGAAGGUUAGCUAAUCCUGGUCGGACAUCAGGAGGUUAGUGCAAAGGCAUAAGCUAGCUUGACUGCGAGAGUGACGGCUCGAGCAGGUGCGAAAGCAGGUCUUAGUGAUCCGGUGGUUCUGAAUGGAAGGGCCAUCGCUCAACGGAUAAAAGGUACUCCGGGGAUAACAGGCUGAUACCGCCCAAGAGUUCAUAUCGACGGCGGUGUUUGGCACCUCGAUGUCGGCUCAUCACAUCCUGGGGCUGAAGUAGGUCCCAAGGGUAUGGCUGUUCGCCAUUUAAAGUGGUACGCGAGCUGGGUUUAGAACGUCGUGAGACAGUUCGGUCCCUAUCUGCCGUGGGCGCUGGAGAAUUGAGGGGGGCUGCUCCUAGUACGAGAGGACCGGAGUGGACGCAUCACUGGUGUUCGGGUUGUCAUGCCAAUGGCAUUGCCCGGUAGCUAAAUGCGGAAAAGAUAAGUGCUGAAAGCAUCUAAGCACGAAACUUGCCCCGAGAUGAGUUCUCCCUGAGACUAUAAGUCUCCUGAAGGAACGUUAAAGACUAUGACGUUGAUAGGUCGGGUGUGUAAGUGUAGCGAUACAUUGAGCUAACCGAUACUAAUGAACCGUGAGGCUUAACCUU
rnacentral:rRNA from 1 species